GAUGAACGCUGGCGGCGUGCCUAAUACAUGCAAGUCGAGCGAACAGACGAGGAGCUUGCUCCUCUGACGUUAGCGGCGGACGGGUGAGUAACACGUGGAUAACCUACCUAUAAGACUGGGAUAACUUCGGGAAACCGGAGCUAAUACCGGAUAAUAUAUUGAACCGCAUGGUUCAAUAGUGAAAGACGGUUUUGCUGUCACUUAUAGAUGGAUCCGCGCCGCAUUAGCUAGUUGGUAAGGUAACGGCUUACCAAGGCGACGAUGCGUAGCCGACCUGAGAGGGUGAUCGGCCACACUGGAACGGGGACACGGUCCAGACUCCUACGGGAGGCAGCAGUAGGGAAUCUUCCGCAAUGGGCGAAAGCCUGACGGAGCAACGCCGCGUGAGUGAUGAAGGUCUUCGGAUCGUAAAACUCUGUUAUUAGGGAAGAACAAAUGUGUAAGUAACUAUGCACGUCUUGACGGUACCCAAUCAGAAAGCCACGGCUAACUACGUG
rnacentral:rRNA from 1 species